rnacentral:rRNA from 1 species
GACGGAGGGUGCAAGCGUUGUUCGGAAUUACUGGGCGUAAAGCGUGCGCAGGCGGUUUUGUAAGUCUGACGUGAAAUCCCCGGGCUUAACCUGGGAAUUGCGUUGGAGACUGCAAGGCUGGAGUCUGGCAGAGGGGGGUAGAAUUCCACGUGUAGCAGUGAAAUGCGUAGAGAUGUGGAGGAACACCGAUGGCGAAGGCAGCCCCCUGGGUCAAGACUGACGCUCAUGCACGAAAGCGUGGGGAGCAAACAGG